rnacentral:rRNA from 1 species
UACGUAGGGUGCAAGCGUUGUCCGGAAUUAUUGGGCGUAAAGAGCUCGUAGGCGGUCUGUCGCGUCUGCUGUGAAAACGCGGGGCUUAACCCCGCGCCUGCAGUGGGUACGGGCAGACUAGAGUGCGGUAGGGGAGACUGGAAUUCCUGGUGUAGCGGUGGAAUGCGCAGAUAUCAGGAGGAACACCGGUGGCGAAGGCGGGAUCCUGGGCCAGUACUGACGCUGAGGAGCGAAAGCGUGGGGAGCAAACGGG